rnacentral:rRNA from 1 species
UGGGGAAUUUUGGACAAUGGGCGAAAGCCUGAUCCAGCAAUGCCGCGUGUGUGAAGAAGGCCUUCGGGUUGUAAAGCACUUUUGUCCGGAAAGAAAUCCUUGGCUCUAAUACAGUCGGGGGAUGACGGUACCGGAAGAAUAAGCACCGGCUAACUACGUGCCGGCAGCCGCGGUAAUACGUAGGGUGCAAGCGUUAAUCGGAAUUACUGGGCGUAAAGCGCGCGCAGGCGGUUUGCUAAGACCGAUGUGAAAUCCCCGGGCUCAACCUGGGAACUGCAUUGGUGACUGGCAGGCUAGAGUAUGGCAGAGGGGGGUAGAAUUCCACGUGUAGCAGUGAAAUGCGUAGAGAUGUGGAGGAAUACCGAUGGCGAAGGCAGCCCCCUGGGCCAAUACUGACGCUCAUGCACGAAAGCGUGGGGAGCAAACAGGAUUAGAUACCCUGGUAGUCCACGCCCUAAACGAUGUCAACUAGUUGUUGGGGAUUCAUUUCCUUAGUAACGUAGCUAACGCGUGAAGUUGACCGCCUGGGGAGUACGGUCGCAAGAUUAAAACUCAAAUGAAUUGACGGGGUCAUAGCUGUUUCCU